UGGGGAAGGCUUAUCCUCCUACUCCAUUUUUCGAAACUCAGUUUUAUAUCUUAUUUUUUAACAUGGAUUUCUUAACUUUUUAAAAAAAUUGAACUAGGGCAGCUUUGCCACGUGGCGCUGCAAACGAAAAUUUUAGGAUAAAAGGGGCUCCCGUAGAAUUGCAAAGCUUAUCAAACUUUUGGACUCAGACAUUGUGUGUAUAUCAGCUGUAGUUUCAGGGCUACUGCAUCUACAUUACAUAAAAUGAAGUACCUCAUGAUGCGUUCAACGCUGAAGCUUUUAUGCAUUUUGUAUUUUAGCAUUCAGAUUAUUCCAUUGAUGGGUAUUUUAAAAAAAGAAGCACCUAACACUGAUCACGAUUUUGAUCGUCCUGGAUGCAGUGAAUUAUUUGCUAUCUAUGAUGAUUGUCUAAUAAAUGGCAAAGAUUGCUUUUAUCCAUAUUUGAAAAUGAACUUAGCAUGUAUUCCACAAUCAGAACGCUGUUUGGCAGCAGCUCAAAAAAUGAUGGAGGUAGGUUGCGUGAAGUAUGACGAUGAUACUUUCAACCCCCAAAGUUGCAAAAGUGGAGAACUUUUUAAAAAUUUUGAUACAUUUUGUAUUCAUCAUAAUGGAUAAACAGAAAAAUAAAUAAAUCAUAUGAUGUCUGUAAAA